rnacentral:rRNA from 1 species
GACGAACGCUGGCGGCGUGCCUAAUACAUGCAAGUCGAACGCAGUGGGGACAGGUGAGUAACACGUGGGUAACCUCCCAUCAGAGGGGAUAACACUUAGAAACAAGUGCUAAACCGAUAUUGAUGUAUGGACCCGCGGUGCAUUAGCUAGUUGGUGAGGUAACGGCUCACCAAGGCCACGAUGCAUAGCCGACCUGAGAGGGUGAUCGGCCACACUGGGACUGAGAAACGGUCCAGACUCCUACGGGAGGCAGCAGUAGGGAAUAUUCGGCAAUGGGCGAAAGCCUGACCGAGCAACGCCGCGUGAGUGAAGAAGGUCUUCGGAUCGUAAAGCUCUGUUGGUAGAGAAGCGGUAUCUAACGAGAAAGCAACGGCUAACUACGUGCCAGCAGCCGCGGUAAUAC